rnacentral:rRNA from 11 species
ACUUAGACCUAUAUGCCCUAAAGGCACCAGAUCUUGUUUGAUGUUGGAAUUUAAGCAGGGUCAGACCUAGUUAGCACUCGAGGAGGAAACUAUUGGGGAAUGCCAGGUGUUGUGGGCU